GACGAACGCUGGCGGCGUGCUUAACACAUACAAGUCGAACGAUGAAGCCUUAGCUUGCUUUGGUGGAUUAGUGGCGAACGGGUGAGUAACACGUGAGCAACGUGCCCAGGACUCUGGAAUAACCGCGGGAAACCGUGGCUAAUACCGGAUAGGUGCCGAGGCCGCAUGGUCUUCGGUUGGAAAGUUUUUGCGGUUCUGGAUCGGCUCACGGCCUAUCGGCUUGUUGGUGGGGUAAUGGCCUACCAAGGCGACGACGGGUAGCCGGCCUGAGAGGGUGACCGGCCACACUGGGACUGAGACACGGCCCAGACUCCUACGGGAGGCAGCAGUGGGGAAUAUUGCACAAUGGGCGCAAGCCUGAUGCAGCAACGCCGCGUGGGGGAUGACGGCCUUCGGGUUGUAAACCUCUUUUAGUAGGGAAGAAGCGCAAGUGACGGUACCUGCAGAAAAAGCACCGGCUAACUACGUG
rnacentral:rRNA from 1 species